GCUAGCGGCAGGCUUAAUACAUGCAAGUCGAACGGGAGAGAGUUAGCAAUAACUUUCGAGAGUGGCGCACGGGUGCGUAACGCGUAUGCAACCUACCUUUAACAGGGGGAUAGCCCGGAGAAAUUCGGAUUAAUACCCCAUAGUAUUUAUUUAAGGCACCUUAGAUAGAUUAAAGCUGAGGCGGUUAAAGAUGGGCAUGCGUGCCAUUAGCUAGUUGGUGAGGUAACGGCUCACCAAGGCGACGAUAGCUAGGGGUUCUGAGAGGAUUAUCCCCCACACUGGUACUGAGACACGGACCAGACUCCUACGGGAGGCAGCAGUAAGGAAUAUUGGGCAAUGGACGCAAGUCUGACCCAGCCAUGCCGCGUGCAGGAAGACGGCCUUAUGGGUUGUAAACUGCUUUUGUCAGGGAAUAAACCCUUGUUUGCGAACAAGGCUGAAGGUACCUGAAGAAUAAGCAUCGGCUAACUCCGUGCCAGCAGCCGCGGUAAUACGGAGGAUGCAAGCGUUAUCCGGAUUCAUUGGGUUUAAAGGGUGCGCAGGCGGACUAUUAAGUCAGAGGUGAAAUGCUACGGCUCAACCGUGGAACUGCCUUUGAUACUGCUAGUCUUGAGUUUAAUUGAAGUGGGCGGAAUGUAGCAUGUAGCGGUGAAAUGCAUAGAGAUGCUACAGAACACCGAUAGCGAAGGCAGCUCACUAAGUUACAACUGACGCUCAUGCACGAAAGCGUGGGGAUCAAACAGGAUUAGAUACCCUGGUAGUCCACGCUGUAAACGAUGAUCACUCGUUGUUGGCGAUACACAGUCAGCGGCUAAACGAAAGUGAUAAGUGAUCCACCUGGGGGAGUA
rnacentral:rRNA from 1 species